UGGAGCUUGAGUUUAGAGUUCUGGUUGUGAAACACGGAACAAAGCAAUCUGAGACUGAAAAUUCAGCAAUGCUGCUGCAUCUCCUCUCCUGCUCCAACAGAUGUGGAUCCCCAUGGUGACAGGAGAAAAACACCAGAGAGCACUGCAGAUGGAUGAGUUACACAUCACAAAGAGGAGGAGACAGAAUGACAGACUGCAGGCGCCAUCUGGGAGCGAGACGUGCAUUACAGGAGCUAUCCAUAUGGUCGGGGCAUCAUGACUUUGCUCAUCUCAUCUCCCGUCAACAUCUCUUCUGCUCAAGUCCUCUCUCAAA